GCACCUGAAAACCUUAGAAGAUAACCCUCCGAAGGCGGAGGUCACGCGUUCGAAUCGCGUCGGGUGCACCA
rnacentral:tRNA from 1 species